GCAUGUCCCUCCACAGCAUCUUCUUGCUGCAAAAUGGCUCUUGCUCCCURUUGCUUUUCCCCAGAGAAAAUCAGCUGCUCUUCAGAGGAAAUUUCAGGGGAAAAUUAAAGGUCGGUAGUCAAAAUUGGUGAAGAAAGGGCUGCUUUGAACCUCUGAAGGACAUCCUGAAGGAUAGUGCAGGAGAAUGUUGUGCUAAAGACCAAAGUUCUCUUCAUCAGCAAAACAGGACUUCCCACUCUUAACUCCCUUUGCUUCCGUCGUUCUGUUGCCAGGAGAACAUCCAUCAUGAACAAAAGCUAUUUUAUUUGGUGCAAUUGGACUCAUGGAGGAAAAYGAACUCUUUACCAGAAACCACAGAAUUAACUCGGAGCAAUUGUUCCUGAGCACGUGUAUAACUUCACCUUACAGACCUCACAGAUGUGGCCUGUUGGGUUUGGCUCUCCUGCGGUGGUUUCGCCCUUUGGCAGCUCCAACAACGUCAUCUCGGAUUUAUGAAGAGCGGGGGCAUGCAUCUGCUCACCCGCUCCAGGGCAAUGAUCACUCAGGCAAACAUUUCCGCAGGCUUUGGGGAUAUUCUGCUAUGUGUAUCARGGAAAAGCAAGGCAAGAAAGCAGGUUUACCGAUGUAGUGUAGCCAAUUGCUGCUUUCCCCUUUGGCCAUCGUAGCAGAUAGAGAUCUUGCAUAAUGUUGCACAGCAGGGCCCAGGCAGGAAUGAAAAAAAUCCUCGAAACUCCAGCUACAAAAACAACCCGCAUAAAUGCAAGUCUGCAGCAGACAGACUUGUGUCAGAAGAGCACAUUUGUCCUGCUUUCAUUACAGCUCAGUGUAAUCUAAUUCAGAAAAUGAAGCAGAGAAAUCCAUUUGGGGAGUUUGGCAGCAGGAGGAUGAUGCUUUGUUUGCCCAUUUGGAAUACACUGAGAAUUAUUUAUUAGUAACUUUUGUGGGUAAUUGGUUUUUAAAUGAGAUCGAGCCUACAGGAGAGUUAUACAUACAAAAUAAAUCUUGUCUGAACUGUGUGUUUAGUUUAUACCAGUCAUAAAAUCAAGCACCUGAACCAAAGAGUGCCCAGACACAUGCCUGUAAGUGCAGACGGUAUCAGUGAUGCUCCAGAGCUCCUCUCCUUGCCUGCCUUGCUCCUUGCCGUGAAGAUGCUGAAGGAAAGAGCCCCUGCUCCAAUGGGAGACAGCAAGAGCUUGGGUGCUCAUUUCCAUAGGACCGUAUUUGUCUUGCUGUGGCAUGGAUCAAGAGGAUCCCCUACGCAUCCAGCUGCUGAGGGGCUCAUCUCACUUACCUGGCAAUCGUUAAUUAUUGGUGGCAGUAAUUCACCCACACAAAGGGGAAGAUAGGCCUGAAGACCUCACACCAUGGAGAAUUUUUUGGGUUUGCAGCACUAGUGAAGAGCUAAGUGUACUUUGGCAGCCGCACGCUCUCUUCCCAAGCACCGGAAGGCCACAUAUAUCAUGAUACAGGCAAAGGGAUUUGCUGGACUGCUCCCAAAAUCCACAAAUAAUGGGAAGUGCAUUCCCUCGGUACACUCCAAGUGCAUAGCAACAGGCUGCAACAAAUCCAGGCCCUAAUGGGAAUUUUGACGCUCUUGUUGAAGGCUAGGAUUUUAUGGUAGGCUUAGAUUUGUGAAUACUUGGCAUGCACUCCUGUCUGUAAGGUUUUAAGAGCUAAACAUCAGCAAUGCUCACUCAAAAAGCCACUGCCUCAUCUAGAGGAGCCUCUUUCUGU